rnacentral:rRNA from 1 species
CUGGAGGCAGCAGUGGGGAAUCUUCGGCAAUGGGUGAAAGCCUGACCGAGCGACGCCGCGUGCGGGAAGACGGCCUUCGGGUUGUAAACCGCCUUUCUGUGGGACGAGAACGGACGGUACCACAGGAAGAAGCCUCGGCUAACUACGUGCCAGCAGCCGCGGUAAUACGUAGGAGGCGAGCGUUGUCCGGAGUUACUGGGCGUAAAGGGUGCGCAGGCGGUGGUGCGCGUGGAUAGAUGAAAUCUCCUGGCUUACCUGGGAGGAUGGUAUCCAGACGGCAUCACUUGAGGGUCGGAGAGGGGCGUGGAAUUCCGGGUGGAGCGGUGAAAUGCGUAGAGAUCCGGAGGAACACCGACGGCGUAGGCAGCGCCCCGGACGACACCUGACGCUGAGGCACGAAAGCUGGGGGAGCGAACAGGAUUAGAAACCCCGGUAGUCC